UGCAUGUCUCAGUACAGACCGAUAAACGGUGAAACCGCGAAUGGCUCAUUAAAUCAGUCGUAAUUUACUGGAUCUCGAUCCAACCUUACUUGGAUAACUGUGGUAAUUCUAGAGCUAAUACAUGCAACCGAGCUCCGACCCCGCCUCGGUGGGGAAAGGGCGCAUUUAUUAGACCAAAAACCGAUCCGCCCCCUCGACGGGGCGGUCGUGGUGACUCUGAAUAACUCAGCCGAGCGCUACGGUCCUUGGACCAGCGCCGUAUCCUCCGAGUGUCUGCCUUAUCAGCUUUAUCGUAAGCUAUGGGCUUACGAUGGCUGUAACGGGUAACGGGGAAUCAGGGUUCGAUUCCGGAGAGGGAGCCUGAGAAACGGCUACCACAUCUAAGGAAGGCAGCAGGCACGCAAAUUACCCACUCCCGGCUCGGGGAGGUAGUGACGAAAAAUACCGAUGCGGGACUCUUCCGAGGCCUCGCCAUCGGAUUGAGCUCAACCUAAAUCCUUGGACGAGAUUCCAUUGGAGGGCAAGUCUGGUGCCAGCAGCCGCGGUAAUUCCAGCUCCAAUAGCAUAUAUUAAAGUUGCUGCGGUUAAAAAGCUCAUAGUUGGAUCUGUCGUCCGGACUGGCGGCCCGCUAAGGGCUAGACCACCGUCGUUGGGCCUUAUAACCCUUCGGCUCGCGUCUGGCCUGGCGGUAAACUGUCCAGCUCCGGAUCGUAAAAUCCGCCGGCGAGCGAGGGAUGCCUAACAGUGUCCCGAGCGCCCCGGCAAGUUCACUUUGAAUAAAUUAGAGUGCUCAAAGCAGGCAAAAACUCACGCCUGGAUGGUGGUGCAUGGAAUGAUGGAACAGGACCUCGGUUCUGCCCUGUUUGUUGGUCGGUUUCUUCGGAACCGAGGUAAUGAUUAAAAGAAACAGACGGGGGCAUUCGUAUUGCGACGCUAGAGGUGAAAUUCUUGGACCGUCGCAAGACGAACUACUGCGAAAGCAUUUGCCAAGAAUGUUUUCAUUAAUCAAGAACGAAAGUUAGAGGAUCGAAGGCGAUCAGAUACCGCCCUAGUUCUAACCGUAAACGAUGCUACCUGGCGAUCCGCCGGCGUCAUACCCACGACUCGGCGGGGAGCCUCCGGGAAACCAAAGGUUUCGAGUUCCGGGGGAAGUAUGGUUGCAAAGCUGAAACUUAAAGGAAUUGACGGAAGGGCACCACCAGGAGUGGAGCCUGCGGCUUAAUUUGACUCAACACGGGGAAACUUACCAGGUCCAGACACCGAAAGGAUUGACAGAUUGAGAGCUCUUUCUCGAUACGGUGGGUGGUGGUGCAUGGCCGUUUUUAGUUGGUGGAGCGAUCUGUCUGGUUGAUUCCGAUAACGAACGAGACUCUGCCCUGCUAAAUAGUCGUCGAAUCGACUCCCGAGACGGGGGCAGCGGGUGCCGUCUCUUCUCUUCUCGGGCGCUCGUUUCCGCCGCCACUUCGGAGUAGUUCUCUUUCCUUCGUCCCAUCCUUUAAACGGGGUGGUCAACGGGGUUGGGGGGCCUUCGGACGCGCGCGCGUGGAGCACGCUCGUUGUUAGAGGGAGUAACGUCUCCGUUCGCUUCCCAACGAGGGGCGUUCGUCGCAAAUGUCUUCUUAGAGGGAUCGGCGGCGUUUAGUCGCACGAAAUGGAGCAAAAACAGGUCUGUGAUGCCCUUAGAUGUUCUGGGCCGCACGCGCGCUACAAUGAAGGGCGCAGCGUGCUAUCCCCCUCCGAAAGGAGCGGGUAAUCCCUUGAAACCCCUUCCCGAUUGGGAUUGGGGUCUGAAAAUAUUUCCCAUGAACGAGGAAUUCCUAGUAAGCGCGAGUCAUCAGCUCGCGCUGAUUAAGUCCCUGCCCUUUGUACACACCGCCCGUCGCUACUACUGAUUGAAUGAUUCAGUGAGGGCAUCGGACUGGCGCCCUCGGUAGCUCUCGAGUCGCUUUCGAGCUCUCGUUCGGCACCUCGGGCUGACGGAAAGAUGUCCGAACUCGAUUA
rnacentral:rRNA from 1 species